GAAAGAUUUCCCUCACCUUUUCCUUCUUGUUCCGGAAUCCCUGGAGGUUUGUCAUCAAACAUCCUCAUUCGUGACCCCCAAGGAAAAGUGCAGCAGCCUGAAUUGUGCUGAAGUGGGCAAAUUAAGGGAAUAAGGGCGUGCUGCAACCAUCAGCAGAAGUGUAAUUGGCUCUUCCUAUGUGCCUGCCAUCGCAAGCUUCACAGCAGAUAGAAAAUGAGAAACUAAUCCUCGUGCUGGCACCACUUUGGCUCUACAUUCACUCCUGUGUUGGAGGUGACUACUGUGUGCAUGCUGACCUCCUGCACGCAGCCAUGGGGCUCAUUUACUGAUGCUGGAAAUUCUGUCUCCUGGAGACCUGGCCAAUGUGAUCAGAACUCACAGGUGGUAUCGUACCAAAGGUUUGUUCAG